rnacentral:tRNA from 1 species
GCGGGCGUGGUGGAAUUGGUAGACACAAGGGACUUAAAAUCCCUCGGCUUUGGCCUUGCGGGUUCGAUUCCCGCCGCCCGCA